UAUAGCUUAGUGGUAGAGCAUUUGACUGUAAAUCAAGAGGUCACUAGUUCAAUUUGUUA
rnacentral:tRNA from 1 species